GUGUAAAAGAUGACAACAAAGUCGUCAGUCUUUGAGCAUGCUCAAGUUCAGGCUGGACUGAACGACAUCAGUUGCUGCUCUCCUCUUGUCCGUCCUAAAAUGUCUGCCAAUCAGUCGGCCGAGCGAUUCACUCCACCAGUUUACCCUCACAAUAACAAUGACCAACAAAACACUAAUUGCAGAAAACACACACACACACACACACUCCAAUCAAGACACAGUGGUCUCCACUUAAUGAAAACAAGCGCAUCAAAUUCUGCCUAUUUUCAGAGCACACUGUCUGCAUGAUGCCCCUCAGCAAAAGGAGACAAAAGAGCCAGUGUAUGUGAAAACUACUUGUCGCCUUUCUUCAUGUCAAUCUCUAUUAGUGUUGGAGCGCCGCUUGAGUGGAACUUUGUGAAUGGGGCCCAUUCUUUUCAUUCCUCCGCUUCCAGGGGCAACAGAGGGAGGAAUUCCUCCACUCUCCCUCUCAGGGUUACGGCGGUCAUGUAUCCUUUAGGUGGUCGCCCCCAUGUCUGACUUCACUUGUUGACAUCUUAAUAUAACUCAGACAGAAUGUAACAGUCAUCCGCUGCAGUGUCGCAUCACAUAUAAUGACAUCAUGUCUGAUGCCUUGAAAAAGAGAAGGGGGGGAAAAGACUGAGCUUCAAAAGCAGCCCUCCUCAUUAAUUUUUUUCUUUCCUUUCCCCACAGAUUUGCUUGUUAUACCACCAAGGGAGGAGAGCGUUAAAGAUAAAAGUGGAGGUACAGGCCAAGAUGCUGCAAGUGCAAAAUAAAGGGACACAAGAUAAUCUGAGACAUUUAUUAAGUUGGAUCUGCAAUGGUGUACCGCUUUCAUGCUACAAAUUAAAUUACCGUGUUGUUGUAGUUACUGUCUUGAAAAAAAAUCACUGUGACAGUCAGCCCGCCCGACUGAGACUUGCGUGUGAAUAGGACUACUGUGUCGCCAGAACACCAUUCUUAUUUUUGUCCUAGCCAGGCUGUCUGGCGGCAGGGCAGGUCAUGUUGGCUACUAGGCCAAAAAGCUGAAUGAUGGAUGAAGGAUGAUGGAGAGAAGUACACUUUCACCAGCUGUAAGUGUUGUCAUUGUUUUGAGUUUGUCACAGUCAAAGAUGCAAAGAACAUUGACGUCCGUUGCAAACUUUGUGCAAGCAGGAAAAUGCUUUCAACAACGAAAAAUACAACCUGCUGGUUAAAUUGCUGGAGCAUCUGAUAUGGCAGCACAGCAAAGUGAAACUGGACACUGGUGCUUACAAUGAGGCAAAUACUGCCAGUGAAGCAGAAUGGACGACUUAACAACAAAAACUGGAUUUCAGAGCAGUUGACAAUAUCUAAAGAAGCUGGUUGCAGGUAAGUUGUAUCACCCAAGAGAUUUUACCUAUGUAGAAAUAACUAGUUACUUUUGAUACCAAGUAAUAAGCAAAUUUUAUUAGUUUUUAGCAGAAUAUGUAAAAAGUAACUUACUAAAAUGUACCCUAAAGCUGAAAACCUGUACACUGAGACAUUUUGUACAUAGCACACGCUGUAUACAAUUAACAUGUGGAAUGGAGUAACAGGAACAAAACGCCGCUCUCUCUCACUUAUUCAACCACCUGUGCAGAUGUACCGUACAAAGUUCCAUACUUCACACUGAAAAAGUGACAAAAUAUUGGCUGGAAGUUGUCUCACAAUGCAAUACACAAUGGAUAAUGAUCGCCGGCCUUCUUCCGUGCAGCUGUCGACCGACAGGUGUGCGAAGGCUGCAAAUGCUCUGUGAAUCCUAUAGAAAUCUGACAAUUGCAGUUGAACACUGAGCUGGAAAAUUGUUAUGUAAUCCUGGAUGACAUUUGAGAAUAAUGGAUGCAUAGACAGAAAGUGGAAAUCAAUGGCAGGCAGAGGUAGACGCGGGGAGAUAGAGUAAAUGAAGAUGAGGAUGUGAACUGCACUGUCACCUGGAGCAGAAUGAAUAAUUAUCGAGAAAUGACGGAUAGAGGACAGAGAAUACACAGAGCCGGAGUGUAACUAUUCACAGCAUCUUCUACAGAACUACUUAGUGCACCUUUAAGUUGUGUAAUGCUGCUGGACUGCAGAUUUCUUUGAGAGGGA